UGGCCCCUACGGGACGCAGCAGUCGAGAAUCCUUCACGAUGGGGGAAACCCUGAUGGUGCGACGCCGCGUGGGGGAAUGAAGGUCUUCGGAUUGUAAACCCCUGUCAUGUGGGAGCAAAUUAAAAAGAUAGUACCACAAGAGGAAGAGACGGCUAACUCUGUGCCAGCAGCCGCGGUAAUACAGAGGUCUCAAGCGUUGUUCGGAAUCACUGGGCGUAAAGCGUGCGUAGGCUGUUUCGUAAGUCGCGUGUGAAAGGCGCGGGCGCAACCCGCGGACGGCACAUGUUACUGCGAGACUAGAGUAA
rnacentral:rRNA from 1 species